rnacentral:rRNA from 1 species
GUGACCUGCGGAAGGAUCAUUACUGAGCGAAAUGGGUGGCAAGGCUGUCGCUGGCUCAAACGAGCAUGUGCACGUCUUUUGCUGCUUGCUUCAUUCUCUUUUCCACCUGUGCACUCUUUGUAGACACUCGGGAUGGGAGAGAGGUUGGCAUUGAUGGUUGACCUCUCUUGAUAUUGAAAAGUCUGGGUGUUUAUGUAUUUUUUGACAUACACGGUUGAAUGUCUAUAGAAUGAAAUGUAGGCUUUUGUCAGCCUUUAAAUGAUAAAAUACAACUUUCAACAACGGAUCUCUUGGCUCUCGCAUCGAUGAAGAACGCAGCGAAAUGCGAUAAGUAAUGUGAAUUGCAGAAUUCAGUGAAUCAUCGAAUCUUUGAACGCAUCUUGCGCUCCUUGGUAUUCCGAGGAGCAUGCCUGUUUGAGUGUCAUUAAAUAUCUCAAAAAGUUUGUGCUUUUUUGGCAUAAGAUUUUUUGGACAUUGGGAGUUGCCGGCUGCUGAUAAAAGUGGUGGGCUCUUCUGAAAAGCAUUAGUUGAGGAGCUUUGCACUCUAUUGGUGUGAUAGACUAUCUAUGCCAGGAGAUGCUUCAUGAUCCUCUGCCAUCUAACUGUCUUUAUUAGACAACAUGAUAAACUUGACCUCAAAUCAGGUAGGACUACCCGCUGAACUUAAGCAUAUCAAUAAGCGGAGGAAAAGAAACUAACAAGGAUUCCCUUAGUAACUGCGAGUGAAGAGGGAAAAGCUCAAAUUUAAAAUCUGGCAGUGUUUCACUGUCCGAGUUGUAACCUAGAGAAGUGUAACCUGUGCUGGAC